CUGCCCUCCGAAGGCAGUGGUCGUGGGUUCGAAUCCCGCCUGGUGCA
rnacentral:tRNA from 1 species